rnacentral:tmRNA from 1 species
GGGGGCGACCUGGCUUCGACGUGGGUUGCGAAACCUUGAGUGCAUGCCGAGAUGCAGAAUCUCGUAAAUCAGCUGCAAAACUUUAGUUGCCAACGACGACAACUACGCACUCGCUGCUUAAUACCCAGUAGGGUGCCGUCUGACCGGAACUGUGCCUGUACAGUCUGGAUUCAGGCGUCGACUCUUACAGGAUCGCGAUGAAAUUUGUUCUGGGUGGAUUCGCUAAACUCUUACAGAACUCGCCGCCUGUUUUCCCUGUUCGUCGGGUAGCUUGCGGUUAAACUAAUUGACGAAAUAAGCAUGUAGAUCUGAAGGCGGAGGAUUUGCGGACGCGGGUUCGAUUCCCGCCGCCUCCACCA